UGGGUCUACGGAGGCCAGUGGAGUGGCUGCUGGGAAAUCACCAGAGUGGGGGCCUGGCUCAGCAGGCCCUCAGGCUAGAGGAGUGAUGGGUGUGGCCUUGGAGAUGCUUGGGUUGAGUGACUCAGGCACUUGGGCACAGUGAGACACUAGGGAGAGGGGAUGACUCAGGCUGCUGGGAGAGACACAGCUACUUGUCCUGGGCCUUGGAAACCCUGGUGCCGUGCCAGUUCCUGGCAUGAGAGACAGGAGCUGGAAAUCCUGUGAGGGCCAAGUCAGAGAGGCAAACGGUUUGGGUCAUGUGGUAUGGCUUCUGCCAUAGCCCGGAGAAACAAAGGAGGCCCAGUGGAGAGCGCAACCCCAGCUAUGGGCACUGGACGAAGAAUCACCAUGACAGGACAGGAAAAAAUUGUAACAGGAGUAAAGUCAGAUUGAGUAAAAACCAAAGAGGAAGCAGAAGGGGAAACGUGAAGCAUCACAGAGAGAUUCACAAGCAAUCUUCCACUCAUCACUCAGCACAGGGCCAGGAGCCCAGACUCGGCCUCCCUGCGGAAACUGCGCCAUUAGAGGAGCCCCAGGGAUUCUGGGAAAGAUGUCCGGCAAACCAGCCGCAGCUGGCUCUCACAAGAGCAACCCUUAAUUAGGCAGCUACCAGAGACAAUAGAAAGAUAAACCAAUUAGAGGUAGAGAGGAACCUGGAUGGUGGUUGUGAGAGCUGCUCUCAAAUGGCUGUUACCUUGAGCCCAGGGCUGGCUCUGUGGCCUUCUUUAUAUGGUUGUUGUUUUUGCUCUUUUUGUUUGUUUGUUUGUUUUUCAGUGCUGAGGACAGAACCUAGGGACUUGCAUUCGAGGUAAGCAUUCUACCACUGAGCUGUGUCACCAGGCCUUUAAGUUUGUGUUUAUUUGAGACAAUUGACCAAGCUAGCUUUAAAUGUGUGUGUGGUAUGCAUGCCUCUGUGUGUGUGUGUGUGUGUGUGUGUGUGUGUGUGUGUGUGUAUUUUCUUGAAUUGUGGUAGGAGACCGGAGGUUGACAUUAGAUAUGAAAGCAGGGUCUUCCCCAUAGGUGUCUUGUUUGCUUUGUCACACUGGGAUAAGUGACAGAAGUGGAGGUGACCAGCCUGCAGCCUACUAAGAGACAGAAACUGGGUAACAGCCUUGCACACUGUCUUCCUUCACUCUCACAAAGGCCAUGUGGGCAGGCACUGUUGUCAUCACAGUUAGCUACAGUGGAGGCCACCUGAGCUGAGGGAGUCAGGUAUCCUGACCUUGGACAGGACAAUAAGAGCUGCUGGGAUUAAACAGGAACAGUUCAAGUAAUGGCAGUGCCCUAGCCUGACAGGGAAACUUCACCCAGGCACCAAGACAGCUCCAUCUUCCAGGGUGAGGCCUAUGUUCUAGAUUUGGGAUUUUGAAAGGUGGAGAGAGGACACUGCAUCUGGGGGGCUGUGUAGAGAGUUCAAGGGAGUGUGGACCUUAAGGACUGUGAUGGACUGGGAGUGGACACAUCUGAGAAACCCAAAGGUCAGGGAGACGGCUGGCUCGUGGACCCAGGGGUAGAGAGAGGGACAGUGGCUGUAGAGCACAUAGAUUGUACUCUCUGGUGGAACCAUCUGUGUGGUGCUGUUUCUUGGAUUAGAGGUUAAGAAGGUCAUCUCAAGGGGCAAGUGGCUCUCAGCGUAAGAAGCUGGUGGGCUAUGGGAUGCUCAGAGGUGAGGAAGGCACAUGAGACCAGCUACAGAGAUUCACAUACAUUAAGAUACCUGCAAGGUGAGCUCUAUAGCAACGGGAGGGGGAGCACACUCUGACAGGUCUAGCAAAACGCCCCAAGACACUGAAUCUACUGCAAAGAGCUGCCAGUCCACACUGAGUACCAGUCUGGGCAAGAGCUCUCUUGCUGCCAGCCCUCUGCCAGGCCUCUCCUCUCUCUUCGGGAAGAAAAGUGAUAGCUUUAAAUAGGUUGGCUUUUUAGCUAUAAAACCAAUGGAAUGUUUUAAUAGCUAGUAGAGCUUGAUUCACUAAGUUAUGAGACUUUCCCAAAGGUUGCACUAGGUACAUGAUGUGACUUUCCCUACACUUUAUCAAGAAUAGAGAAAGAACUUCACUAUAGAAUAAAUUAUUACUAGUAGUAUUCAUAUGUGUGUGUGUGUGUAUGUAUGUAUGUCACAUGUAUGGGGAUGAGCAUGGAGGUCAGACAAAGACACCAGAUCCCCUGGUUCUAGGCUAUAAGUGGUUUUAAGCUGCCUAAUGUGGGUGCUGGGAAUAAAACUUAGGUCCUCUGGAAGAACAGGACUCAAUCCACUGAGCCAUCUUUCCAGCCCCGAUUAUUUUUAACUGUGUGUGCUUUCUCCGACUCUGGUUAUCCCUCUGAGACUAGCUCCCCCAACACGACGACCACGCCAACACAAAGCUCUGUUUACAAAUUGGAACUGAGUCCUUCAACUAGCUCUUUGGCUGUGACUACUGCAGUUUAUAUUAGUUCUUUGACAGGCAGUCAAGUGGCAGCUGCUAAAGAAUGAGUUUUUCUUUCCAACCCCUUUUAUCUCCAAACAGAGGACUGCAGUCUGCAUGGGCACUGAGAGGAGAGCAGCUUUCUCUUUGUAGAGAAAUCUUUACCAAAUGAAUGAUUAUACUUCAAAUGUAGGAUGCCAACUCCAUUGGUUGACAUUGACCUGCUGGAGUCCCAAGCAAAGACACAAUAGGAAGACCCAAAUUGGAGCUGGGUGGCUCAGUGGUCAAGGGCACUUGCUGCUCUUCCUGGAGACCUGGGUUCAGUUCUCAGUCAGAUACUGCGGCUCACAACCAUCUGUUACUCCAGAUACAAAGCCCUGGUGUGGACAUGCAUGAUGCAGACAAAAACCUAGACACAUAAAAAUAAAUGAUUUUUUAAUUGAAGACCCAGAUUUAGAGUUCUUGGGGUUUGAAUCCUGCCAGGGCCUUGCUUUCUCUGGCUCGUUAGGCCAGUCACUUGAUCCUGAGCUUCCGUGUCCUAAUCUAUUAAAUUGGAAUAACAACUUUGUCCUUCAAGAGUAUUUUGAGAUUAAAUUACAUCAAGUGUGCAGGUCUAUGUCUAAUGCUUCUAGCAUGCACUUUACUGGUUAUAAUGCAUCAGAUACUGCAUUAAGAGGUGACUAUUUUAUCCCUUUAAAUUUAUGGUAGAGGGCAGAGGAGAUGGCUCAGUAGUUAAGGACUCAGACUGCUCUUGCAGAAGACCUGCUUUUAGUUCACCCAGGUUAGGCAGCUCACAACAGCCCGUAACUCCAGCUCCAGGGGACUCAGUGCCUUCUUUUGGCCUUGGUGGGUUUUACACUUAUGUGCUAAGCCUUGCAUGUGCUCACACACUAUUAAAAAUAAAAUGAAUCUGAGCCAAGUGCAGUGGCAUAUGUCUUUAGUCCCAGCACUUGAGAGGCAGAGGCAAGCAGAUCUCUGAGUUCAAGGCCAGCCUGGUCUACAGAGUGAGUUCCAGACCAUCAAGGGCUACACAGAGAAACCCUGUCUCAAACAAACAAACAAACAAACAAACAUGAAACUGAAGAAAGCCCAAACUUGUUUUCCCUGAGCCUCUCAUCUGCCAUUGCCACCUGCCAUCUGUAAAAUGGAGAUGUCAUUUAUGUUUUUCUGAAGUACUAUAAAAGUUGUUUUUGUUUGGGGUCAUUAGGGAUUAAAUGUAGCCCUCCCCAGGCUAAGCCUACAUUGUACCAUUGAGCUGCAUCCCAGACUCUACAACUAUUUUCUCAAGAGCCCCCCCUCCCCUUCCCAGCUGGAAUCAUUUAACCCAGGACCAGGAGGAGACAGCCCAAAUUCUCUGCCUCAAGGACACUGAUGGAUGGCCCUCCCAUGACUGUCUCAGCUAACAAACUCCUGCAGGACAAAGGGGAAAAAAGGCAGAUUCAAAGGCUGGUGAUUCUAUGAUCUCAUGCUUCCUUCUGACACAGAGCUCGGCGGGAGACCAAGGAAAUUCAAUUGGAAGAAAAUACACUUAUCUCCUUUGAUAUACGGAGGGGGAGCCAGGAAGGGACAUAAAGGCCAGUUCUACAGGAAGAUCAUCUCUGGUCCCAGGAGAUAAGCACUGAGCAUCCAAUUGUGUCACUCAUCUGGGAUGAUCCAGUUCCAUCUAGCAAGGCCACCUGCUAAGGUAUCUCUUUUUUCAUUGGCCCAUGCACCACCAGGCAUCUAUGUGAGUGAAUUUAUUAUGUUUUAAAAGAAGAUUUUUAUUUUAUUUUUAAUUAUGUGCGCGUGUUUGUGUGUACAUCUGUGGAGGAACUUGUGCACAUGUGUGCAGGUACCUGAGACCGGAAGAAGGCAGUUGAUUCCCUGGAACUGAAGUUUCAGGAGAUUGGGAGCCACACACUGUGGGUACUGGAAUCCAACUCAGUCCUUUGCAGAGCAGCACAUGCUCUUCAGCACCAAGCCAUCUCCCCAGCCCCAAACGAACAAAUUUCUACCAGUGGUGAGAUUACCUUUGUGAGCACGAAGGACAUAGCUCUGACUUUAAAUCCGUUAAUGUACUCAAUAAAUCUCCAAAUUCUAAGAG